GAUGAACGCUGGCGGCGUGCCUAAUACAUGCAAGUCGAGCGAACAGACGAGGAGCUUGCUCCUCUGACGUUAGCGGCGGACGGGUGAGUAACACGUGUAUAACCUACCUAUAAGACUGGGAUAACUUCGGGAAACCGGAGCUAAUACCGGAUAAUAUAUUGAACCGCAUGGUUCAAUAGUGAAAGACGGUUUUGCUGUCACUUAUAGAUGGAUCCGCGCCGCAUUAGCUAGUUGGUAAGGUAACGGCUUACCAAGGCAACGAUGCGUAGCCGACCUGAGAGGGUGAUAGGCCACACUGGAACUGAGACACGGUCCAGACUCCUACGGGAGGCAGCAGUAGGGAAUCUUCCGCAAUGGGCGAAAGCAUGACGGAGCAACGCCGCGUGAGUGAUGAAGGUCUUCGGAUCGUAAAACUCUGUUAUUAGGGAAGAACAAAUGUGUAAGUAACUAUGCACGUAUUGACGGUACCUAAUCAGAAAGCCACGGCUAACUACGUG
rnacentral:rRNA from 1 species